UUCCGGUUGAUCCUGCCGGACCUGACUGCUAUCGGAUUGAUACUAAGCCAUGUGAGUCAUUGUAGCAAUACAAGGCAGACGGCUCAGUAACACGUAGCCAACCUACCCUAUGGACGGGGAUAACCUCGGGAAACUGAGGAUAAACCCCGAUAGAUCAUUACACCUGGAACGGUUUAUGGUCCAAAUGAUUCGUCGCCGUAGGAUGGGACUGCGGCCUAUCAGCUUGUUGGUGAGGUAAUGGCCCACCAAGGCUAUUACAGGUACGGGCUCUGAGAGGAGAAGCCCGGAGAUGGGUACUGAGACACGGACCCAGGCCCUAUGGGGCGCAGCAGGCGAGAAAACUUUGCAAUGUGCGCAAGCACGACAAGGUUAAUCCGAGUGAUUCCUGCUAAAGGAAUCUUUUGCUAGUCCUAAAAACACUAGCGAAUAAGGGGUGGGCAAGUUCUGGUGUCAGCCGCCGCGGUAAAACCAGCACCUCAAGUGGUCAGGAGGAUUAUUGGGCCUAAAGCAUCCGUAGCCUGCUUUGUAAGUUUCCGGUUAAAUCCAUUAGCUCAACUGAUGGGCCGCCGGAAAAACUGCAAAGCUAGGGAGUGGGAGAGGUAGACGGUACUCGGUAGGAAGGGGUAAAAUCCUUUGAUCUAUUGAUGACCACCAGUGGCGAAGGCGGUCUACCAGAACACGUUCGACGGUGAGGGAUGAAAGCUGGGGGAGCAAACCGGAUUAGAUACCCGGGUAGUCCCAGCUGUAAACGAUGCAGACUCGGUGAUGCCCUGGCUUGUGGCCAGUGCAGUGCCGCAGGGAAGCCGUUAAGUUUGCCGCCUGGGAAGUACGUACGCAAGUAUGAAACUUAAAGGAAUUGGCGGGGGAGCACCACAAGGGGUGAAGCCUGCGGUUCAAUUGGAGUCAACGCCGGG
rnacentral:rRNA from 1 species